UACGUAGGGGGCAAGCGUUGUCCGGAUUUACUGGGCGUAAAGAGCGUGUAGGCGGCCACGCAGGUCGGUUGUGAAAACUGGAGGCUCAACUUCCAGCCGUCGACGGAAACCGUGUGGCUAGAGUCCGGAAGAGGAGAGUGGAAUUCCUGGUGUAGCGGUGAAAUGCGCAGAUAUCAGGAAGAACACCAAUGGCGAAGGCAGCUCUCUGGGACGGUACUGACGCUGAGACGCGAAAGCGUGGGGAGCGAACAGG
rnacentral:rRNA from 1 species